AACGAACGCUGGCGGCAGGCCUAACACAUGCAAGUCGAGCGGACAUCUUCGGAUGUUAGCGGCGGACGGGUGAGUAACGCGUGGGAACGUGCCCUUUGCUUCGGAAUAGCCUCGGGAAACUGUGAGUAAUACCGGAUGUACCCUUUGGGGGAAAGAUUUAUCGGCAAAGGAUCGGCCCGCGUUGGAUUAGGUAGUUGGUGGGGUAAUGGCCUACCAAGCCGACGAUCCAUAGCUGGUUUGAGAGGAUGAUCAGCCACACUGGGACUGAGACACGGCCCAGACUCCUACGGGAGGCAGCAGUGGGGAAUCUUAGACAAUGGGGGAAACCCUGAUCGAGCCAUGCCGCGUGAGCGAUGAAGGCCUUAGGGUUGUAAAGCUCUUUCACCGGGGAAGAUAAUGACGGUACCCGGAGAAGAAGCCCCGGCUAACUCCGUG
rnacentral:rRNA from 1 species